GAGGGUAUAGCUCAGUGGUAGUAUAUGCUUAGCAUGCACAAGGUCCUGGGUUCAAUCCUCAGUAUCUCCA
rnacentral:tRNA from 1 species